rnacentral:rRNA from 1 species
CAUGGGAUAAUAUUGCAAGUUGCAUACGUAUUUCCAACUUGAUAUGGUUCAUCAGAUAAUGGGGCAACCUGUUAUUUGGGAAAUAAAGUUGUGUUGUUUAAGAGGAACAAUUGGGGUGAUUCAUAUUUAAUUGUUAGAGGUGAAAUUCUUGGAUUUCUGAAAGAUGAACUUGUGCGAAAGCAUUUCACAAAGAUGUUUUCAUUAAUCAAGAACGAAAGUUGGGGGAUCGAAGACGAUCAGAUACCGUCGUAGUCUCAACCAUAAACGUUAUCAACCAGAGAUUGGAUACCUGUUGUAUUCUCAUUGCUUGUCUUUUCGGAUGGGUAAUGAGUUGACUCUUCCAGCAUCUUAUUAAGAAAUUAGAAGUGUUUGGAUUUCGGGGGGAGUAUGGUCGCAAGGCUGAAACUUAAAGGAAUUGACGGAAGGGCACCACCAGGAGUGGAGCCUGCGGCUUAAUUUGACUCAACACGGGACAACUUACCAGGGCCUGACAAGCUGAGGAUGGACAGAUUGAGAGCUCUUUCUAGAUUGCUUGGGUGGUGGUGCAUGGCCGUUCUUAGUUGGUGGAGUGAUUUGUCUGGUUAAUUCCGAUAACGAACGAGACCUUAACUUGUUUAUUAUUCUUAUCUAUCCUUGUGAUAGAGCGUAAGAAUACUAAAAAGGACUAUUGUGUGUUUUUUUGUAACCAAUGGAAGUUUGAGGCAAUAACAGGUCUGUGAUGCCCUUUGAUGUUCUGGGCUGCACGCGUGCUACAAUGAUAAGGACAGUAAGUUGUGGAUGAUGUCGUCGUAAGAUUGAUGUUGUCCUAGUUCGUUUUCGAAAGGAAACGAUAUUCAUCAAUCCUUAUCGUGCUGGGGAUAGCUGAUUGUAAUUAUUGAUCUUGAACGAGGAAUUCCUAGUAAAGAAAAGUCAUCAACUUUUUUUGAUUAUGUCCCUGCCCUUUGUACACACCGCCCGUCGCUCCUACCGAUUGAGUAGAUUGAUGAAAAGAGGGGAUGCUUGGGUAACCUUGUGUUAUUUCUUGCCAACCUUUUUAAAUCAUACUAUUUAGAGGAAGGAGAAGUCGUAACAAGGUUUCCGUAGGU